GUUUGAUUAUCAUAAAAAAUUCUCCCGAAAUGGACUUUGAAGAGGAAAUGGGGUAUUGGGGAAAAUCAGGAGACAAGGGGUACAACAUUAGCCCCAUAGCACAAGUUGCCAUUGCAUCGCUGUGAUGAUAUGCUUCUUAAUUAUGAUGUUUAUAUUAGUCAAGGUUUGGAGGAAGGUCACAGUUAAAAGGCCUGAAAUAUAAUUACUUUAUUAUGAAAAAUGUUGGUAAUGAAAAUGAAAUGAAUUUUAUAUAUAGUACUAUUUUACUAUGA
rnacentral:misc_RNA from 1 species